UUUGUUUCAAAUUUGUAUUUCAAAUGUUUUUAUUUUAUUAGUUUUAUAGUUUAAAGUUUGUUUAUUUACGGAAAACCCAUCGCAUGUAUUUCAUUUAUAUUUUAUUCAUAUAUUUUUCAUUUUUCUUUAAUUUUUGUAAUGACAUACUUCCAUGAAAUUUAUCUUCUGUUUUUCUCAUUUACGUCUUAAAUUAUUUUAUCUUUUUUAUGAUUUAUUUAAUUAUUUGAAAAGCGAAGUUACAAAAGGUAGAGGCGGAGAGAGAGACAGAGAGAGAUGGGGUGGGGAACCUGAAGCCUUGCCACUGCAGGCCUCACCUUGCUGGGACUGCUACCACUGCUGUCUCCUAUCCGAAGCAGGCUCCUGUGACACCCAAGUGAGUUGCACCCACCUCCUAAAUUGCCUUGCAUUCCUACUGAGGGAGGAGGCACUGAGCAGCCUGAGAACCCCCAGGCUAACGUGGAGGUCCUGGGGGGUGGACAGACACCAGGGUAGGCUGCACUGCCUCUCUACUGGCUCUUUGUGUCUCAUCACUCAGUGACAGAGAUUGUAGACUCCCUGUGCUUGCCCACUUACACUUGGCAGGUCCCAGCUGCUGCUCCCACCACUGGCUCGCUGGCAGUGCCUGCCCUGCUCUGAAGCCUUUCUGUCCUUCUGCCUUGGUAAGGCCAUCCCGUAAUGUCUCCUGCAGUCACCUCCACCCCAACAGGCAGUUCCUCUGCUACCGUGCUGCUCAAGCUGCCGUGGACCACACUGAAGCUACGGACACCACCCUCCUUCCAAGGUGGUCAUCUGCCGUUCUCUGGCUGCCUCUGUGGGGAGCUGCCUCCCAUUGUCCAUGGUGCUUCCUGGUGCUGGGCACACACCACGCAGUGUCAGUGUUGCUCAACGCAGUCUUUGCCAGUUUGCUGGCACAGUCAAUCUAGGGACCAACUGCAGUCCCAAUUACCCCUUGAAUCCAGGAGCUCCCACUCUUCCCACAAGUUGGGUACCUGAUGCGCACCAUUGUGAGAGCACUUUGGUUUUGUGGAGGCCAAUGCUCCAACACAAGCCAUUGGCCUAACUUCCUCUCCCACCAAGUCCCAGGCUUAGGCUGUCAGGUAUGUAUGUUUGACACAGCCGUCAUGUUACCCUGAAGGAAGCCAGACUGGCUUCCCAGUUGACUGCUAGCUUUAUAAUCAUUGCCAAGUCAUUGUGUAGUGCUUAGUUGGCACUAGGCACUGUACCUCAUUGUUUGCCAGCCUGCUCUGGAGCCCGUAGAGUGUCUGUGGGACCAGCACCCCCUCUGACUGUCAGGAGCAUUGGGUUUUGUGUGUCCCCUCCAGGCCCCAUCUCUGAUUCCAAAGUUUCAACUUAGGCACAGGGACACCUGCCGCCAUUCCUUCUCCUGCUUUUGGUCAGGGACCUUUGAUUCCAGCUAGCCUCAGGGGCAGGGCCUCUCAAAUUAAAAAAGAAAAGAAAGACAAGAAAAACCCACAGAAAAAUACUAGCUCCCCCUUCAGCAAGAACAUCAGGGUCCCUGCAGCUCAGGUGGUGUGCCCUUUUUGACUGUGGAGGAGCCAGCAUUGUUGAUGAUGCACCUGGGUAUGGGAGCAGCUGUGCUGGUGCUGUGGGCACAGGAAGCAGCCACUGGAGUCCUCUGCUCUCUCACCCUUGGCAUCAUAGUAGCAGCCACCAAAGCCUUCCUUCCUCCUUUCAGUCCCUAUAAAACUUACCCUGCUCUCUUCCUACAGAAGCGUGAGGCCGAAUCUCAAUGUCUGUGUGUAUACGUCGGAGUGGGUGUGUGUGUGCUAUGCAUAUCUGUGUAUGCCGAAGGACGUGUGGCAGAUUGAUCUUGUGAGAACCCGCUGGAUAUGAAGGCCCCCUGUGUGGACUGUACGGGAUCUCCGCGUAGAUCACCGGCCGCACCCUCCCUGACUUCAUGUGGUCACCUGAGGACCCAACUCUGCACAGCGUCUUCACUGUUAGAGCCUGGAGGACUCGCCCUGCUGCCCACCAGCACUCCCUGUUCCUUGGACUUUCUCAGCCCUGUUAUCAUUAAAACUGUGCUCUUGUUCUGC